rnacentral:rRNA from 1 species
GACGAACGCUGGCGGCGUGCUUAACACAUGCAAGUCGAACGCUGAAACCAGAUGCUUGCAUUUGGUGGAUGAGUGGCGAACGGGUGAGUAACACGUGGGUGAUCUGCCCUACACUUUGGGAUAAGCCUGGGAAACUGGGUCUAAUACCGAAUAUUCACAUCAUCGUAGGGGUGGUGUGGAAAGCCUUGUGCGGUGUGGGAUGAGCCUGCGGCCUAUCAGCUUGUUGGUGGGGUAAUGGCCUACCAAGGCGUCGACGGGUAGCCGGCCUGAGAGGGUGUACGGCCACAUUGGGACUGAGACACGGCCCAGACUCCUACGGGAGGCAGCAGUGGGGAAUAUUGCACAAUGGGCGCAAGCCUGAUGCAGCGACGCCGCGUGGGGGAUGACGGCCUUCGGGUUGUAAACUCCUUUCGCUAGGGACGAAGCCUAUGGUGACGGUACCUGGAGAAGAAGCACCGGCUAACUACGUGCCAGCCGCCGCCGUAAGAC